AUUCCUACGGGAGGCAGCAGUGGGGAAUUUUGGACAAUGGGGGCAACCCUGAUCCAGCCAUUCCGCGUGAGUGAAGAAGGCCUUCGGGUUGUAAAGCUCUUUUGUCCGGAACGAAACGGGUAGCGUGAAUAUCGCUGCCUACUGACGGUACCGGAAGAAUAAGCACCGGCUAACUACGUGCCAGCAGCCGCGGUAAUACGUAGGGUGCGGGCGUUAAUCGGAAUUACUGGGCGUAAAGCGUGCGCAGGCGGUUUUGUAAGCCAGAUGUGAAAGCCCCGGGCUUAACCUGGGAAUGGCAUUUGGGACUGCAAGGCUUGAGUGCGGCAGAGGAGACUGGAAUUCCUGGUGUAGCAGUGAAAUGCGUAGAUAUCAGGAGGAACACCGAUGGCGAAGGCAGGUCUCUGGGCUGACACUGACGCUGAGGAGCGAAAGCAUGGGGAGCGAACAGGAUUAGAUACCCUGGUAGUCCAUGCCGUAAACGUUGGGAACUAGAUGUGGGGACCAUUCCACGGUCUCCGUAUCGCAGCUAACGCAUUAAGUUCCCCGCCUGGGGAGUACGGCCGCAAGGCUAAAACUCAAAGGAAUUGACGGGGGCCCGCACAAGCGGCGGAGCAUGCGGAUUAAUUCGAUGCAACGCGAAGAACCUUACCAAGGCUUGACAUAUACCGGAAACCUGCAGAAAUGUAGGCCCCGCAAGGUCGGUAUACAGGUGGUGCAUGGUUGUCGUCAGCUCGUGUCGUGAGAUGUUGGGUUAAGUCCCGCAACGAGCGCAACCCUCGUCCUAUGUUGCCAGCACGUAAUGGUGGGAACUCAUGGGAUACUGCCGGGGUCAACUCGGAGGAAGGUGGGGAUGACGUCAAAUCAUCAUGCCCCUUAUGUCUUGGGCUUCACGCAUGCUACAAUGGCCGGUACAAAGGGCUGCGAUACCGCAAGGUGGAGCGAAUCCCAAAAAGCCGGUCUCAGUUCGGAUUGAGGUCUGCAACUCGACCUCAUGAAGUCGGAGUCGCUAGUAAUCGCAGAUCAGCAACGCUGCGGUGAAUACGUUCCCGGGCCUUGUACACACCGCC
rnacentral:rRNA from 1 species